UGUAAGCGUAUACCAAAGUUGUUGCAGUUAAAACGCUCGUAGUCGGAAUUUGGCAGUUCCGGAUGUGUGCACGUCGUGUGCGCGCUUUGCGGGGAUUGCUUUUGUGGUCUUGCGUAGGAUGAGGCACUUUUAUUAGUGAACGUCCUCACGCAACCACUUUUUACUGUGAGAAAAUCAGAGUGCUCAAAGCAGGCAUUUGCCGUGAAUGUAUUAGCAUGGAAUAAUAGAAUAGGACUUGGUUCUAUUUUGUUGGUUUGUUGGGACUGAGUAAUGAUUAAGAGGGACAGUUGGGGGCAUUUGUAUUUCGGUGCUAGAGGUGAAAUUCUUAGAUUACCGAAAGACAAACUGCUGCGAAAGCGUCUGCCAAGGAUGUUUUCAUUGA
rnacentral:rRNA from 1 species